GAGGCUUGUUAAAUGCACGAGGACUGGUGGUUCCACGGCGUAAGGUCCGUGAGAUGAUGGCUCGAAUCAACCCAAUGGCGACUGCAAGGAGGUGGAGCAGCGCAGUGACUCGACGUGUCUAUCAUGUGCCGUAUCCCAACAGUUUAUGGCAUAUUGAUGGCAACAUGCGUCUCAUAAGGUGGGGCUUUGUGGUCCAUGGUGGCAUCGAUGGAUGUUCUCGCUUAAUUACUUACUUGAACUGUAGCACAGACAAUCGCGCCUCAACAGUGCUAUUUCAUUUUCUCAAGGCAACAGGCCUCUAUGGCUUACCUUCUAGAGUGAGGUCAGAUCAUGGUGGUGAGAAUGUGCAAGUGGCACUGGUGAUGAACCUCCUACAGGGCAUUGAACGUCGGAGUCAUAUCACUGGGGAAUCCAUCYAUAAUCAGAGAAUAGAGCGUCUUUGGAGGGAUGUGUUUUUACAUGUUCUUGAACCAUUUUACAGCAUGUUUUAUAAUYUUGAAGAUUCAGCCCUCUUGGAUCCCAGCGACGAUGUGCACAAACUUUCUCUUCACAUAGUUUUUCUUCCUGAGAUUCAAAGCCGACUAGAACAAUUCAGGAAAGCAUGGAACCACCAUUCCUUGCUUACAGAAAACAACAAAACACCAACACAAAUCUGGACUGAACGGAUGUUGGCAAACAUGAGUGCCAACAGYACAGCAACUAACAACGUGUUUGGUGAAAAUUCCAACGUACCAGAGACUCUUGAAGAACUUCUGCAGCAGCAUGGCCUUUGGCCCCCACCAACCACUGAUGCUGAGCAGGUCCCUAGUGUAAUUGUAGAACCACCUCAAACCAGGCUCAGUCAGCAGCAACUUCAAUCAGUUAAUCAUGCAGUUAAUCAUAUUUCUGAUCUGAAGGCAAAAUACCAGGCCUGUUGUGCAGAAAUUGCAAAUGCUUUAUUGAUUUAAAUACGUCACUAUGUUUGAGAAGGAGUGACAAACAUCAAGAACAUUUGAUCAAAUACAUUGUUCUUAAGAUACAAAUAAAACUUGGAAUUAACAURAGUAGGUAACCUUACAGAUGUAAUUAUAAAAUGUUAAGGUGUUUAAAGACAUGACAAAUUAAAUAUGCAUUCUGCAGGAAAAAUAAAAAUUCUACUUUUGAAAA